UCCCUAGUGGUCUAGUGGUUAGGAUUUGGCACUUUCACCGCCACAGCUCAGGUUCAACCCCUGGUCUGGGAA
rnacentral:tRNA from 1 species